UAUAAGGGAUUUUGAGUUUUUUGUUGCAACGUUUGACCACUCGUCUUAUUCAAAUUUUUUUGAAAUUAUUAUUUAUUUUAUUUGUGACUUACUUUAUUAUCCACAGUACUUUAAGCACAACUUUUCGUUUUUUAUAUUUACAAAAAAAUUUAAAUAAGACGGGUGGUUAAAUGUUGCAAGCAAAAAAAACUCAAA
rnacentral:pre_miRNA from 1 species